rnacentral:rRNA from 1 species
UUUGAUCUCAAAUCAGGUAGGGUUACCCGCUGAACUUAAGCAUAUCAAUAAGCGGAGGAAAAGAAACUAACAAGGAUUCCCCUAGUAACUGCGAGUGAAGCGGGACGAGCUCAAAUUUAAAAUCUGGCGGUCUUUGGCCGUCCGAGUUGUAGUCUGGAGAAGUGCUUUCCGCGCUGGACCGUGUACAAGUCUCUUGGAACAGAGCGUCGUAGAGGGUGAGAAUCCCGUCUUUGACACGGACUACCAGUGCUUUGUGAUGCGCUCUCAAAGAGUCGAGUUGUUUGGGAAUGCAGCUCAAAAUGGGUGGUAAAUUCCAUCUAAAGCUAAAUAUUGGCGAGAGACCGAUAGCGAACAAGUACCGUGAGGGAAAGAUGAAAAGCACUUUGGAAAGAGAGUUAAACAGUACGUGAAAUUGCUGAAAGGGAAACGCUUGAAGUCAGUCGCGUCGGCCGGAACUCAGCCUUGCUCUUUUGCUCGGUGCAUUUUCUGGUUGACGGGCCAGCAUCGAUUUUGACUGCCGGAAAAAGGCCGG